AACGAACGCUGGCGGCAUGCCUAACACAUGCAAGUCGAACGAGACCUUCGGGUCUAGUGGCGCACGGGUGCGUAACGCGUGGGAACCUGCCCUUAGGUUCGGAAUAACUCCCCGAAAGGGGUGCUAAUACCGGAUAAUGUCUUCGGACCAAAGAUUUAUCGCCUUUGGAUGGGCCCGCGUUGGAUUAGCUAGUUGGUAGGGUAAAAGCCUACCAAGGCGACGAUCCAUAGCUGGUCUGAGAGGAUGAUCAGCCACACUGGGACUGAGACACGGCCCAGACUCCUACGGGAAGCAGCAGUGGGGAAUAUUGGACAAUGGGCGAAAGCCUGAUCCAGCAAUGCCGCGUGAGUGAUGAAGGCCUUAGGGUUGUAAAGCUCUUUUACCCGGGAUGAUAAUGACAGUACCGGGAGAAUAAGCUCCGGCCAACUCCGUG
rnacentral:rRNA from 1 species